ACCUCUUACCAUUCCGAACAGAGAAGUUAAGCCCAUUAGCGCAGAUGGUACUGCAGAGAUGUGGGAGAGUAUGUCGCCGCCUUUU
rnacentral:rRNA from 1 species